CACGUAGGGGGCAAGCGUUGUCCGGAUUUAUUGGGCGUAAAGAGCUCGUAGGCGGUUCGGUAAGUCGGGUGUGAAACCUCCAGGCUCAACCUGGAGACGCCACCCGAUACUGCUGUGACUAGAGUCCGGUAGGGGAGCGUGGAAUUCCUGGUGUAGCGGUGAAAUGCGCAGAUAUCAGGAAGAACACCCGUGGCGAAGGCGGCUCUCUGGGACGGUACUGACGCUGAGACGCGAAAGCGUGGGGGAGCGAACAGG
rnacentral:rRNA from 1 species